ensembl:snRNA RNU7-110P RNA, U7 small nuclear 110 pseudogene
UAGCAUUAUAUAGCUUUUAGAAUUUGUCUAGCAGGUUUUCCAGUUUCUACCAGAAACCCCUA